GCCUACGGGGGGCAGCAGUGGGGAAUUUUGCCCGGUUGUGGAGACCCUGAUGCAGCGACGCCGCGUGAAGGAAGGAGUAUUUCGGUAUGUAAACUUCUAUCAGCAGGGAAGAAAAUGACGGUACCUGACUAAGAAGCCCCGGCUAACUACGUGCCAGCAGCCGCGGUAAUACGUAGGGGGCAAGCGUUAUCCGGAUUUACUGGGUGUAAAGGGAGCGUAGGCGGUGCAGCAAGUCAGAAGUGAAAGCCCGGGGCUCAACUCCGGGACUGCUUUUGAAACUGUUGAACUAGAUUGCAGGAGAGGUA
rnacentral:rRNA from 1 species